GCCGAAAUAGCUCGGAUUAGGAGGCGUUAGACUGAAGAUCUAAAAUUCCCUGGUUCAAUCCCGGGUUUCGGCA
rnacentral:tRNA from 1 species